UACGUAGGGACCGAGCGUUGUCCGGAAUCAUUGGGCGUAAAGAGCGUGUAGGCGGCUUGUUAAGUCUUGCGUGAAAUCUCGGGGCUCAACCCCGAGCGGUCGUGAGAAACUGGCAGGCUAGAGUGCGGGAGAGGAGAGUGGAAUUCCUGGUGUAGCGGUGAAAUGCGCAGAUAUCAGGAAGAACACCCGUGGCGAAGGCGGCUCUCUGGAACGAAACUGACGCUGAGACGCGAAAGCGUGGGGAGCAAACAGG
rnacentral:rRNA from 1 species